rnacentral:rRNA from 1 species
GACGAACGCUGGCGGCGUGCUUAACACAUGCAAGUCGAACGGAAAGGCCCUGCUUUUGUGGGGUGCUCGAGUGGCGAACGGGUGAGUAACACGUGAGUAACCUGCCCUUGACUUUGGGAUAACUUCAGGAAACUGGGGCUAAUACCGGAUAGGAGCUCCUGCUGCAUGGUGGGGGUUGGAAAGUUUCGGCGGUUGGGGAUGGACUCGCGGCUUAUCAGCUUGUUGGUGGGGUAGUGGCUUACCAAGGCUUUGACGGGUAGCCGGCCUGAGAGGGUGACCGGCCUCAUUGGGACUGAGAUACGGCCCAGACUCCUACGGGAGGCAGCAGUGGGGAAUAUUGCACAAUGGGCGGAAGCCUGAUGCAGCAACGCCGCGUGCGGGAUGACGGCCUUCGGGUUGUAAACCGCUUUCGCCUGUGACGAAGCGGGAGUGACGGUAAUGGGUAAAGAAGCACCGGCUAACUACGUG